rnacentral:rRNA from 1 species
UACAGAGGUCCCAAGCGUUGUUCGGAUUCACUGGGCGUAAAGGGUGCGUAGGUGGCGCCGCCAGUUUGAUGUGAAAUCUCCGGGCUUAACCCGGAAAAGGCAUUGAAUACUGCGGGGCUAGAGGUUUGGAGGGGGGACUGGAAUUCUCGGUGUAGCAGUGAAAUGCGUAGAUAUCGAGAGGAACACCAGUGGCGAAGGCGAGUCCCUGGACAACACCUGACACUGAGGCACGAAAGCCGGGGGAGCAAACAGG